UUCUCAUGAGAUCUCAUGGUUUUAUAAAUGGCGGUUCUCUGGGGCUUUACGCUCUUUCCUGUUGCUUUGUGAAGAAGGUUCUUGUUUCUUCUUUGCCUUCUGCCAUGAUUGCCAUGUGAAUCGCACCCCUGGAACUGUGCGGGGCCCACCUGUGUGGCCACACGCAGUGACGCUGAGCAAAGGAGUGACCAGAGAAGUGCAUGGCAAAGCAGAAAGGUGUGCUGUCCUGGAGGACGGGGAGGAAAGCACGCCCAGCAGGCAGGAGCUAUCACGUGGCUGCUGGCUGCUGCUGAGAACCUGGCGUGGGCCACCGUCAUCAGCAGCGUGGAGGGAGCCGAGGGGCAUGGACACUGUCUUCUCCUUCCAGCAGGCACAGGUAUGGAAGGAGACUGAGGCUGGUCUUGGAUGGACACUCGCCAUUGCAGUCAGACCCCAUCUGGAUAAUCCUGGAUAAAUCUCAUCUGGAGAUCCUUCACCAGAUCACAUCGGCAAUGACCUGUUCCCCAAAUAAGGCCCCAUGCACAGGUUCUGGGGUGCUAGGAGUGAGCCACCAUGCCUGGCCCAGUUUUUAAUUCUUGGACAUCUCCAAAAUCAGGACAUAUCUUGUCAUUGAAGACGUCUCACCAUAGCGGCCAGCCAUGCAGCCACUGGGCCUGUCUGUGCCUGAACAAGACACUGGCCUGCCUUUGUCUGAACAAGACAGCCUCAGUCUCAAAGCUUGCAGAUGGGUGUAGGCCUGGAAGAAAAUUCUCAAGACAACGGUGGAGCACGCUUGCCCCUAGGAGACCAAGUGGCCGGGAUGUUGAGAAUCAGCCUUUCGCAGAAAUCCCCUAAGCGGGAGGCAGCAGGCUGACUCCAUCAGCCCCAGGCAGGCUUCUGGGCCCUGCAGCUAUGGCUCUUCAUCCUUUUACAUGUUCUUCGAGAAUCAGCUGCACCCUGGAUGCUUCUGACAGCUCAGAGGACAUGAGCAUGAGGACAAGCACAGGGCUUGAUGGCUCAGAGGGAAAUGGAGUUGGAAGAUUUGGACUUAAUAAUGUGCACAAAUUUUAGAAAUAUCUUAACAAAUUUUAUUUUGCUGAUAUCUUUCUUUUAUGUGUGUGCCAAAGUGAUGGCCGGUACAAAUCCAUGUCUAAUUAAGUCCAGAAGAGCUCCUUCAAUAAGCGUAAAAUGAAAGUUAUGAGUGAUAAGAAAGCGUCAUGUCAGUUUAAUUGGCAGCAUUUUCUCUUUUUUAGUGGUUCGUAAAAUAAUGCAGUGCUUUGCUAUCGA